rnacentral:rRNA from 1 species
GACGAACGCUGGCGGCGUGCCUAAUACAUGCAAGUAGAACGCUGAAGGAGGAGCUUGCUUCUCCGGAUGAGUUGCGAACGGGUGAGUAACGCGUAGGUAACCUGCCUGGUAGCGGGGGAUAACUAUUGGAAACGAUAGCUAAUACCGCAUAAGAGUAGAUGUCGCAUGACAUUUGCUUAAAAGGUGCAACUGCACCACUACCAGAUGGACCUGCGUUGUAUUAGCUAGUUGGUGAGGUAACGGCUCACCAAGGCAACGAUACAUAGCCGACCUGAGAGGGUGAUCGGCCACACUGGGACUGAGACACGGCCCAGACUCCUACGGGAGGCAGCAGUAGGGAAUCUUCGGCAAUAGACGGAAGUCUGACCGAGCAACGCCGCGUGAGUGAAGAAGGUUUUCGGAUCGUAAAGCUCUGUUGUAAGAGAAGAACGAGUGUGAGAGUGGAAAGUUCACACUGUGACGGUAUCUUACCAGAAAGGGACGGCUAACUACGUG